UUUCAGGAUUGAUACUCAAUCAAAUACAAGGCGAUUUCAAUCCCUCUUUCGUUAUCUUCUUGAGGAUGUUGCUUUGGAGCCCAAACGGUUGAAUAAAAUCCCUGUAGGUCAGGAGUUCAUGAUUUUUUUUAACUUUUACAGGGAACUUUUUACUUGAUGUGGAUAACUAUCAUUCUAGCCAUGACAUUGAUUGAGGAGCCAAUAUAUUUAGCAUUGAAAUUUAAAAUUAACUUUAGAAUUCUUCAUUAAUUCUCAUGUCCAGUGAGAUCUAUUUCUUUUACUUUCGAGGUUUAUAUUUUUUUCUCACUCGGGUGGGUUUUCUGGUAAUGCAUCUUCAGCCCCUGAAUCAAGAAAUUGUAAAUUCUCCAGUAAUGUGUUGAUUCAUGCAGUUGACAAACUUGGGAGCUUCUUAAGGAAAUUUCCUCUUUUUCCAAAUGCUUUUCUGGUUAGUGGUGUAGAAAACUUCUUUAUUAUUGAACUUGCAGAUCAGGUAAAUUUUGAAGCACUCUGUGCUGCAAGUACUUUUGUUGAGUUUUUGUUCUCACAUUGCAUUGAAUGAGGGUGAUAUUUUCUUUACUGGUCAGCUUCAAAAACUGAAGGUGGAACCAGCACAUAAAACUUCUCCAGGGCCUGAGUCAUUGGGUAUUAUUGUUGGAAUUGUUUUCUUGGUCUUGGGAAUCUUAUUCCAGUAUUUCAACUUCACUGCAGAUUCAAAUAGUUAAAACCUCCGCAGAGGACAAGAAAGAACAUAAGCCACCUAUACAGCAGAGCUAACAAGAGAAAGAACCCCUUCUAACAGAGAUCAAGGCAGAAAAAUCCUCUUCCACCAUCCAGUAGCAUAUAUAUAAAGACCUAUCCAAACUCUUUUGAACAAUGAGCAACUCAAUAUUGUCGAUAUUUUGAUGUUUU